rnacentral:rRNA from 1 species
CUACGGGUUGCUCCAGUGGGGAAUAUUGCACAAUGGGCGCAAGCCUGAUGCAGCCAUGCCGCGUGUAUGAAGAAGGACUUAGGGUUGUGAGGGAGGGGCAGCGGGGAGGAAGGGAGGAAAGGGAAGAAAGGGGAGGAGGGAAGGGAGGGGAAGAAGAAGAACCGGCUAACUCCGUGCCAGCAGCCGCGGUAAUACGGAGGGUGCAAGCGUUAAUCGGAAUUACUGGGCGUAAAGCGCACGCAGGCGGUUUGUUAAGUCAGAUGUGAAAUCCCCGGGCUCAACCUGGGAACUGCAUCUGAUACUGGCAAGCUUGAGUCUCGUAGAGGGGGGUAGAAUUCCAGGUGUAGCGGUGAAAUGCGUAGAGAUCUGGAGGGAUACCGGUGGCGAAGGCGGCCCCCUGGACGAAGACUGACGCUCAGGUGCGAAAGCGUGGGGAGCAAACAGGAUUAGAUACCCCAGUAGUC